CCGUCGAUAGCUCAGUUGGUAGAGCGGUGGACUGUAGAAGGCUUCCGUACGGACAUCCAUAGGUCGCUGGUUCAAAUCCGGCUCGACGGA
rnacentral:tRNA from 2 species